rnacentral:tRNA from 2 species
AAAAAGGAGGUGUUUGGGCACAUGGGUUUUUGGAGCCCAGGGAGACUUUUCUAGGGUCCCUUUUUU